CAGGUCAGUAAGAGAUUUGAAGAAAGUGAAAGAUUUCUUAAUGUUGGAAAUGGAAGAUCAGUUUCAGUUCUAGUGUCAGGGAUUAUUAAGUUUGUAUUCAAGUCGAAUGUAAUUAUUCUUAAUGAAUAUCAUUUUUAUCUUUUUUUUUAUUGAAUAUUAUUUUUGUAGGCCUCUUGGCCACGUACGAUUAUAAAAUUUUAAUAAAAAAAAUAAUUUUAAUAUCAUGAUUAAUGG
rnacentral:lncRNA from 1 species